GACGAACGCUGGCGGCGUGGAUUAGGCAUGCAAGUCGAACGGUAGGAUCCUUCGGGGAUCUGAGAGUGGCGAACGGGUGAGUAACACGUAGGUGAUCUACCCUCAAGACGGGGACAACCCAGGGAAACUUGGGCUAAUACCGGAUGUGAGCUAUCGCGAGAUAGUUUGAAAGGUGGCUUCGGCUGCCGCUUGAGGAUGAGCCUGCGUCCUAUUAGCUAGUUGGUGAGGUAACGGCUCACCGAGGCAGUGAUAGGUAGGCGGCCUUAACGGGUGGUCGCCCACACUGGGAUUGAGAUACGGCCCAGACUCCUACGGGAGGCAGCAGUCGAGAAUAGUCUACAAUGGUCGAAAGACUGAUAGUGCGACGCCGCGUGAACGAAGAAGCCCUUCGGGGUGUAAAGUUCUUUUAUAUGUGAGCAGUGACACCCAUAUUAAUAGUAUGGGUGUAGAGAUAUUAGCAUAUGAAUAAGCAACGGCUAACUCCGUG
rnacentral:rRNA from 1 species